rnacentral:rRNA from 1 species
CCUACGGGACGCUGCAGUGAGGAAUAUUGGUCAAUGGACGAGAGUCUGAACCAGCCAAGUAGCGUGAAGGAUGACUGCCCUAUGGGUUGUAAACUUCUUUUAUAAAGGAAUAAAACGAGGCACGUGUGCCUUUUUGCAUGUACUUUAUGAAUAAGGAUCGGCCAACUCCGUGCCAGCAGCCGCGGUAAUACGGAGGAUGCGAGCGUUAUCCGGAUUUAUUGGGUUUAAAGGGAGCGUAAAUGGGUUGUUAAGUCAGUUGUGAAAGUUUGCGGCUCAACCGUUAAAUUGCAAUUGAUACUGGCAGUCUUGAGUACAGUUGAGGUAGGCGGAAUACGUGGUGUAGCGGUGAAAUGCUUAGAUAUCACGAAGAACCCCGAUUGCGAAGGCAGCUUACUAAACUGUGACUGACAUUGAUGCUCGAGAGUGUGGGUAGCAAACAGGAUUAGAUACCCUUGUAGUC